UACGAAGGGGGCUAGCGUUGCUCGGAAUCACUGGGCGUAAAGCGCACGUAGGCGGCUUUCUAAGUCAGGGGUGGAAUCCUGGAGCUCAACUCCAGAACUGCCUUUGAUACUGGGGAGCUCGAGUCCGGAAGAGGUGAGUGGAACUCCGAGUGUAGAGGUGAAAUUCGUAGAUAUUCGGAAGAACACCAGUGGCGAAGGCGGCUCACUGGUCCGGUACUGACGCUGAGGUGCGAAAGCGUGGGGAGCAAACAGG
rnacentral:rRNA from 1 species